rnacentral:rRNA from 1 species
UUUAAAUGUAAAAAUUUUAUAUUAUGGUAGUAUUAGUUAUAUUCUUCAAACUAAAAAAUUUUGGCGGUAUUUUAGUCUUUUCAGAGGAACCUGUUCUAUAAUUGAUAGUCCACAUUUUAUCUUACUUAAUUUAGUUUUCAGUUUGUAUAUCGUCGUCAUCAGAAUAUCUUAAUUAAGAAAUAAUUUUCUAAAAUUUUUAUUAAAAAUAAUGUCAGAUCAAGGUGCAGCUUAUAAUUAAGCAGAAAUGGGUUACAAUAAAUUUAUUUAUAUGGAUUAGAAUAUGAAAUUAUUUUAUUAAAGUGGAUUUGAAAGUAAAUUAUUAAAUAAUAUUUAAUUGAUUAUAGCUCUAAAAUAUGC